UACGUAGGCAGCGAGCGUUGUUCGGAGUUACUGGGCGUAAAGGGUGUGUAGGCGGUUGUUUUAAGUUUGGUGUGAAAUCUCCCGGCUCAACUGGGAGGGUGCGCCGAAUACUGAAUGACUUCGAGUGCGGGAGAGGAAAGUGGAAUUCCUGGUGUAGCGGGUGAAAUGCGUAGAUAUCAGGAGGAACACCGGUGGUGUAGACGGCUUUCUGGACCGUAACUGACGCUGAGACACGAAGCGUGGGUAGCAAACAGG
rnacentral:rRNA from 1 species